GAUGAAGAACGUAGCGAAAUGCGAUAAGUAAUGUGAACUGCAGAAUUCAGUGAAUCAUCGAAUCUUUGAACGCACAUUGCGCCCGCCAGUAUUCUGGCGGGCAUGCCUGUUCGAGCGUCAUUUCAACCAUCAAGCCCCCGGCUUGUGUUGGGGACCUGCGGCUGCCGCAGGCCCUGAAAAGCAGUGGCGGGCUCGCUGUCACACCGAGCGUAGUAGCAUACAUCUCGCUCUGGGCGUGCUGCGGGUUCCGGCCGUUAAACCACCUUCAUAACCCAAGGUUGACCUCGGAUCAGGUAGGAAGACCCGCUGAACUUAAGCAUAUCAAUAAGCGGAGGA
rnacentral:misc_RNA from 1 species